UACGUAGGGUGCAAGCGUUAAUCGGAAUUACUGGGCGUAAAGCGUGCGCAGGCGGUUAUGCAAGACAGAGGUGAAAUCCCCGGGCUCAACCUGGGAACUGCCUUUGAUACUGGGUAUCUAGAGUCCGGAAGAGGUGAGUGGAAUUCCGAGUGUAGAGGUGAAAUUCGUAGAUAUUCGGAGGAACACCAGAAGCGAAGGCGGCCAACUGGCCCGAUACGUGACGCUGAGGCGCGAAAGCGUGGGGAGCAAACAGG
rnacentral:rRNA from 1 species